rnacentral:rRNA from 1 species
GGAUUAGAUACCCUGGUAGUCCAUGCCGUAAACGUUGGGCGCUAGGUGUGGGGUCCAUUCCACGGGUUCCGUGCCGCAGCUAACGCAUUAAGCGCCCCGCCUGGGGAGUACGGCCGCAAGGCUAAAACUCAAAGGAAUUGACGGGGGCCCGCACAAGCGGCGGAGCAUGUGGAUUAAUUCGAUGCAACGCGAAGAACCUUACCUGGGUUUGACAUGCACCAGACAGGCGUAGAGAUACGUCCUCCCUUGUGGUUGGUGUGCAGGUGGUGCAUGGCUGUCGUCAGCUCGUGCCG